UUGGUUGCGCAAGAGAGGAUCGUUAUUGGGGUCUGCCAUAGUGAAGAUUUGAUGAAAUUACGAGAGAAUUGAAAUUGGAUUGAUUCUUUUUUAUUCUUAUGAGAUCGUAAGAUCCGAUUUGCGUCUCUCCGCUAUGAGCGAAGGCUAGCUGAAUCUCGACCCUCACUGCUAGUAUUGGGUAUUUAUAGUGAAAAGAAAAUACGUCUUUCUAUACUACUAGCACACAGAAAAUGUUUUUUUUUUUUUUUUGACUAAAAUCACACAGAAAAUGUUUAGGAAGUAUGAUUCUCG
rnacentral:lncRNA from 1 species